UCUCCCAGGAGUACAUCAACCUCCUGCUGUCCAUGUAUUUCUUCGUGCUGGGAAUCCUGGCCCUGUCCCACACCAUCAGCCCCUUCAUGAAUAAGUUUUUUCCAGCCAGCUUUCCAAAUCGACAGUACCAGCUGCUCUUCACACAGGGUUCUGGGGAAAACAAGGAAGAGAUCAUCAAUUAUGAAUUUGACACCAAGGACCUGGUGUGCCUGGGCCUGAGCAGCAUCGUUGGCGUCUGGUACCUGCUGAGGAAGGUAUUUGGCACCAAUGUGAUGGUGACAGUGGCCAAGUCCUUCGAGGCACCAAUAAAAUUGGUGUUUCCCCAGGAUCUGCUGGAGAAAGGCCUCGAAGCAAACAACUUUGCCAUGCUGGGACUUGGAGAUGUCGUCAUUCCAGGGAUCUUCAUUGCCUUGCUGCUGCGCUUUGACAUCAGCUUGAAGAAGAAUACCCACACCUACUUCUACACCAGCUUUGCAGCCUACAUCUUUGGCCUGGGCCUUACCAUCUUCAUCAUGCACAUCUUCAAGCAUGCUCAGCCUGCCCUCCUAUACCUGGUCCCCGCCUGCAUCGGUUUUCCUGUCCUGGUGGCGCUGGCCAAGGGAGAAGUGACAGAGAUGUUCAGCUACGAGUCCUCGGCGGAAAUCCUGCCUCAUACCCCGAGGCUCACCCACUUCCCCACAGUCUCGGGCUCCCCAGCCAGCCUGGCCGACUCCAUGCAGCAGAAGCUAGCUGGCCCUCGCCGCCGGCGCCCGCAGA
rnacentral:sRNA from 1 species